GAAAGCCGGAUGCGCUGAAAGGUGCAUGUCCGGUUUGGGGAGGGGGGUGUAGAAAUCGACUGACUGAAAAGUCAGCACGGCGCUAUGCUCCUACUCUAC
rnacentral:ncRNA from 1 species